GAUGAACGCUGGCGGCGUGCCUAAUACAUGCAAGUCGAGCGAACAGACGAGGAGCUUGCUCCUCUGACGUUAGCGGCGGACGGGUGAGUAACACGUGGAUAACCUACCUAUAAGACUGGGAUAACUUCGGGAAACCGGAGCUAAUACCGGAUAAUAUAUUGCACCGCAUGGUUCAAUAGUGAAAGACGGUUUUGCUGUCACUUAUAGCUGGAUCUGGGCCGUAUUAGAUGGUUGGUAAGGUAACGGCUUACCAAGGCAACGAUGCGUAGCCGACCUGAGAGAGUGAUAGGCCACACGGGAGCUUAGACACGGUCAAGGGUCCUACGGGAGGCAGCAGUAGGGAAUCUUCCGCAAUGGGCGAAAGCCUGGCGGAGCAACGCCGCGUGAGUGAUGACGGUCUUCGGAUCGUAAAACUCUGUUAUGAGUGAAGAACAAAUUUGUAAGUAACUAUGCACGUCUUGACGGUACCUAAUCAGAAAGCCACGGCUAACUACGUG
rnacentral:rRNA from 1 species